CACAGAGAUAGAGGUUGCACGUUCUAUCAGUACCUUUUCAGAUGUAUCAGGAACAGGAGAAGGAAAGGGAAAGGAGAGGGUGCCGAAGGAACAGGAGACCUGAGAUCUUGUCCCUGGGCAUGGGGGUGAAGAACCUCAUGACUGUCAUCGCAAGAUGGAGUGCUAUCCGAAGA
rfam:Firmicutes bacterium CAG:646 genomic scaffold, scf85